UAGGACACUACAAGAAAAAGCAGUUUUUGCUGUCAAAAGCUGAAGGGGCGAUUAAUUUUUGGCCGCAACAGACCAUAAUGCACUGUAGCCGCAUUUUUGUAGUGGCGGCAGUGAAAUUCGCCAUAACACAUACUUUUUGCGGCGACUUUUUCUCUUCACAAAUAAUAUUACCAUGUAAGAUGCAAAAAUAGCAAGUUAUUUCUGACUGCGGCGACAUGUUUAUCACCGCAUUAAGUUAGAAGCGUGCAUAUGUUGGCUAUCUCCGUAGUGAUAACUACGGAAACCCAUUUUACAGAAACCCAUUUUCGCCGAUACCGAUCUCUGUCCGAAAACCCAAUUUUGCUGCAGCCAUCGUGAGCUUCCACCACCACCGAAACAGAGCAAAACCCCCUCCAUCAGUCCAUCCCAGCCUUCACGUUGAACAAGGUCUGAGAAAACAACAUCGAUUCUUCUCUGUGACAGAUCGACUUCCCUGCUGCACGCCGUCGCCUCCUUGCCUAGUCGGCUGCCCAAUCGUGUCCCACCGUCGCGCACGGCUUCUCCACUCGGUCCCUAUUUCAGCAAGCUAUCUCAUCUCCUUUCAAUCUGUGUGGUAGACAUAAGCUGUCAAA